rnacentral:rRNA from 1 species
AUUGAACGCUGGCGGCAGGCUUAACACAUGCAAGUCGAGCGGAGAUGAGGUGCUUGCACCUUAUCUUAGCGGCGGACGGGUGAGUAAUGCUUAGGAAUCUGCCUAUUAGUGGGGGACAACAUUCCGAAAGGAAUGCUAAUACCGCAUACGUCCUACGGGAGAAAGCAGGGGAUCUUCGGACCUUGCGCUAAUAGAUGAGCCUAAGUCGGAUUAGCUAGUUGGUGGGGUAAAGGCCUACCAAGGCGACGAUCUGUAGCGGGUCUGAGAGGAUGAUCCGCCACACUGGGACUGAGACACGGCCCAGACUCCUACGGGAGGCAGCAGUGGGGAAUAUUGGACAAUGGGGGGAACCCUGAUCCAGCCAUGCCGCGUGUGUGAAGAAGGCCUUAUGGUUGUAAAGCACUUUAAGCGAGGAGGGGGCUACUGAGACUAAUACUCUUGGAUAGUGGACGUUACUCGCAGAAUGAGCACCGGCUAACUCUGUGCCAGCCGCCGCCGUAAGAC